UGGGGAAUUUUGGACAAUGGAGGAAACUCUGAUCCAGCAAUUCUGUGUGUGUGAAGAAGGUUUUAGGACUGUAAAACACUUUUAGUAGGGAAGAAAAAAAUGACGGUACCUACAGAAGAAGCAACGGCUAAAUACGUGCCAGCAGCCGCGGUAAUACGUAUGUUGCGAGCGUUAUCCGGAAUUAUUGGGCUUAAAGGGCAUCUAGGCGGUAAGACAAGUUGAAGGUGAAAACCUGUGGCUCAACCAUAGGCUUGCCUACAAAACUUUUGAACUAGAGUACUGGAAAGGUGGGUGGAACUACACGAGUAGAGGUGAAAUUCGUAGAUAUGUGUAGGAAUGCCGAUGAUGAAGAUAACUCACUGGGCAGAAACUGACGCUGAAGUGCGAAAGCUAGGGGAGCAAACAGG
rnacentral:rRNA from 1 species